rnacentral:rRNA from 1 species
UUGCCUCAGUAACGGCGAGUGAAGCGGCAACAGCUCAAAUUUGAAAUCUGGCCCUCUCAGGGUCCGAGUUGUAAUUUGGAGAAGAUGCUUCGGGUGUGGCCCCGGUCUAAGUUCCUUGGAACAGGACGUCACAGAGGGUGAGAAUCCCGUACGUGACCGGUGGCCUCCCCCGUGUGAAGCUCUUUCGACGAGUCGAGUUGUUUGGGAAUGCAGCUCAAAAUGGGUGGUAAAUUUCAUCUAAAGCUAAAUAUUGGCCAGAGACCGAUAGCGCACAAGUAGAGUGAUCGAAAGAUGAAAAGCACUUUGGAAAGAGAGUUAAACAGUACGUGAAAUUGUUGAAAGGGAAGCGCUUGCAACCAGACUUGCGCGCGGCCGAUCAUCUGGUGUUCUCACCGGUGCACUCGGCCGCGCUCAGGCCAGCAUCGGUUUGGGUGGCUGGAUAAAGGCCUCGGGAAUGUGGCUCUCUUCGGGGAGUGUUAUAGCCCGAGGUGCAAUGCAGCCUACCCGGACCGAGGACCGCGCUUCGGCUAGGAUGCUGGCGUAAUGGUUGUAAGCGACCCGUCUUGAAACACGGACCAAGGAGUCUAACAUCUAUGCGAGUGUUUGGGUGUCAAACCCAUACGCGUAAUGAAAGUGAACGGAGGUGAGAACCCUUAAGGGUGCAUCAUCGACCGAUCCUGAUGUCUUCGGAUGGAUUUGAGUAAGAGCAUAGCUGUUGGGACCCGAAAGAUGGUGAACUAUGCCUGAAUAGGGUGAAGCCAGAGGAAACUCUGGUGGAGGCUCGCAGCGGUUCUGACGUGCAAAUCGAUCGUCAAAUUUGGGCAUAGGGGCGAAGACUAAUCGAACAUCUAGUAGCU